rnacentral:lncRNA from 1 species
CAAUGAUGAAGACACGUACACAAGCAGAAAGCUAUCUCAUUAUCCACGUAUAUGGGUCUACUUUGAUCUCUGUCUCAUCUUUCGGCGCUUCCUCUUCAGUCUCCUCAUGCGCUUCUUCUUCCACUGUAAAUAAUGAAGAUUAAUUGUCAAAGGAACAAACUAUUUCAUAUACAUAUUCAUAUUCAUAUAUAAGAAAAAUGUUUUUCUCAUGGCCACUCCCAAGAGGAAAUUGCAGAGACACUGCGCACCCCAAGGCAACAGGAUAUGACAAUGCCCCUUUCUUUGACAAGCAGGAACUAUCCACCACAAAGGGAGGAUGGCUCAACUGCAGUAAUCAUCAAAGAAUGGCUUGAUCUGCGACAAUUUACCUUUGAGUUUUGCGAAUAUUGACUAAUUCGCCCCAAUUUGAUUGUAAUUGACACACUUCAAACAUUUAAGUAACAAGGGACCUUGAAACAAAUUCAAAGACGAUUUGAAAAACAUCAGGGUUCUUUGAAAAUAUUGAUGCUAUUAAAGUCCAGCAAUCUAUAAAAUUCAAAAUCACUCAUGUUCAAUAUAAGAAUGAACUAUCCAAAAAUAAUAGUACCCAUGUUACAUAAACCUAAGCCAUGCAAGAAAUAAAUUGUCAAGUAAUUCCCUAGAAACGGAAAUAAAUAAUAGCAGUAACAAUCAUUAUUGUACUUUCUCAGUCAGGUGCUCAUUUUAAAUGCAUUAAAACAUGAUGCUAGUAUUACUAGAUUUUUCUAAUAUAUCCCGACAUCUUAACAGUCAUAUGCACAAUAAACAUACCAUUGGAUUGUGAUAUGGCUCCUACAAAUAAACAAUUCAUCAAUGGAAAUGCAUAUGAAUAUCUAAAUUUAUAUUACAAUUUUUAGCUGCAAAGCAGGCAACGGCCUAAUACUUUUUGUCAUAUACAAACCAUAGUGUGCAAAGUUUUAGGAUUAGAUGUCCAUCACCGUCAAAAUCCCCAUAUGUACAUUAUUGAUGGUUUAAUCACGUGUGUGCGCUUGUGUGGAAUGCGCUUUGGUUAAAUAAUUAAUCUUCUGCCUUCCAAAGGGUAUAUCAAUUUCAUAAAUUUUUAUAAAACAGGGGCUAUUAUAAAAGGAUUUACAAGAAAACAAAGUAUAUAACCAAUCAUUGUAGUAACAGAUCGUAAACCUAAUUGAUUACAGAUUAGGUGCACGAGAAAACAUUGAAAUAUCAUGAAUUUCCAGAUAAUUAAGGCUGAAAGAGCAAUCGAGAGGGAAUAUUCAAAAUUGAAAUCAAAAUAAUAAUCAAAGUGCAAAUGAACAUAUAAAUUUUUGAAGACUAGUAGCUUAUAGGGUUACCUUAGCACGCAUCUUCGAUCAACUUCUCUCUCUUUCAGUCUGUUCACUCUACGAGCCGAAUUUUGUCCAGGUAGGAAGAGCAAAUUGUGUUUUGUGUGGCUCUUCUUUCGCAUUUUAUAUGCUUAGCUUGCAAAACCCUAAUUCUUACGGGCUUCACAAUGCGUACAUGGGCUGGGCUAGAUAGUCC